rnacentral:rRNA from 1 species
CUACGGGGUGCUCCAGUGGGGAAUAUUGCACAAUGGGCGCAAGCCUGAUGCAGCAACGCCGCGUGGGGGACGACGGCCUUCGGGUUGUAAACCUCUUUUAGUAGGGAAGAAGCGCAAGUGACGGUACCUACAGAAAAAGCACCGGCUGAACUACGUGCCAGCAGCCGCGGUAAUACGUAGGGUGCAAGCGUUGUCCGGAAUUAUUGGGCGUAAAGAGCUCGUAGGCGGUUUGUCGCGUCUGCUGUGAAAAUCCGAGGCUCAACCUCGGACCUGCAGUGGGUACGGGCAAACUAGAGUGCGGUAGGGGAGAUUGGAAUUCCUGGUGUAGCGGUGGAAUGCGCAGAUAUCAGGAGGAACACCAAUGGCGAAGGCAGAUCUCUGGGCCGUAACUGACGCUGAGGAGCGAAAGCGUGGGGAGCGAACAGGAUUAGAUACCCCUGUAGUC